AAAUACAGAAAUUCCCAGGCCAGGGACUAAAUGUGAGCUGCAGCUGCAACCUAUGCCACAGCUGCGGCAAUGCUAGAUCCUGGACCCACUGCGCAGGGCCAGAGAUCAAGUCCACACCUCCACAUAAAAUACCGAGAAGCCUUCAGCUCUUUGGGGAACCAGUCAUGUUGUCAGAAGGAGAGAUGAAUACCAAUGAAUUCAGCAAUGUAGCACUUGAAGUCAUAUCUCAAUUCAUCUAAGAACUGUCCACAGUACUUGGAUAAUUAUCUAAGACAUUGUAUAGUAUAAAAACAAAAGUUCUAUUUGGUUUUGAAACAGACAGAAAAACCAACCUCAACAUGAAUGAGAAAAGACAAUGGAUACCAAUACCAAGAUGACAUAGAUUUAAGAAUUAUCUUACAGGGAUUUUAGAGCAGUCAUGAUAAAAUGCUUCAAAAUGAGCAUUUUUCAGUGAGACUAACACACACAGGAAACAAAGGAAAAAAAGAAAGUCUAAGAAAUAGAAAGUCUUAGCAAAGAAAUAGAAGACAUAAAGAAUAAAACUACAGAUCUAAAAUUAUAGUAACUGAAAUUAAUACACCAACAGAUAGGCUAAACGGCAGAAUGGAGGGGACAGAAGAAUCAGUGAACUAAAAGAUAAAACAAUAGGAGUUCCCGUCAUAGCUCAGUGGUUAACGAAUCUGACCAGGAACCAUGAGGUUGCAGGUUUGAUCCCUGGCCUCGCUCAGUGGGUUAAGGAUCCAGUGUUGCUGUGAGCUGGGGUGUAGGUCGCAGACGUGGCUCGGAUCCCACGUUGCUGUGGCUGUGGCAUAGACCAGUAGCUACAGCUCCAAUUCAACCCCUAGUCUGGGAACCUCCAUGUGCUGCGAGUGUGGCCCUAAAAAGACAGGGAAAAAAAAAAAAAAGAAUGAGAAAAGCCAGUAAGUGAGUUCAUACAACUUUAAUUUCAAUUUUAGUGUUCAGAGAAAAUCCUGGUUGCAAUCCCAAAUUGGUUUAAAUUUUUUUUUUAGAGAUGGCGUUUCAUAAAAGAAAUCAGACUAGAGAACAAAUGAUUAUCUAUUUCAACAACAAUCUCAAUUAUAUCCAAUAGAAUAAUUUUUGAAUAUUUAUAAAAAUCAUCCAAUCUUUCUCACUUUGAGAGAUAAGAAAAGUAAAAGUGGCACAUAUGUAUGCCAACAAAUAUUCAAUUUAUAAUAAAUCCAAAUAACCAGGCAACUAAGGAUGAACUGAAAAUAUAAAUGUAAGCCAAAAGAUGCUGUAACUCUCCUUUAUCACCUACAUUUCUUUUUUUAAAAUAUGAAUCAAUUCAUUUAAUUCUUUAAAAUACAUACUAAGAUGUAAAAUCAACUCCUAAGCUACAAACAACUAGUAAGUAGCAAUACAUUUAGAAAAGGAAAACUAAUCAAUAUUUCCUUAUAAUGACACCACCAUGUUAACCUUUAAGAAACUGCAGAUCUAAAUUUAUUGCAUUUCCUUGGUGCUGAGAUCACACAUGCAAGCAAACACACACACACACACACACACACACACACACACACACACACACCCAACAUCGCUGGAUGUCCCUCACUGACAUCCUCAGAUUUACAGAAGAUGACAUUGAAACAGAUCUCAGUAUUCUUCAAAUUUCCAUACAUCUAUUAAAGAACUUAUUUCAUCCUGGUUCAGAAAAUGAAUUCCAUAGAAAAAAGCAAAUCUAAAUGAAUACUGAAUCAACUUCCUGGCUCAACACCUUAUUUAGUGCUACGAAAUCUAUAAACAAGACUGAAAAAAAAAAGCGUUUCACAAAUUUCUUUAUGGAAAUAGUUUUAAAAAUUAAAAGGAUUAAUGUAUAAAACCAAUGUAUUCUGAACUACACAUGUACUGAGAGAAUGUUUAAAAUGAAUGAGGCACAAGCUUGGAAGCCUGGCUCUUGAACCCUAAAGUCAAACAAGGGCAACUCAUAAAUCACAUGAAAAAAAGCUGAAUCCCUCUUAAAAAUUUUAACCCUCAACUAUAUAUCAUAACUUUAUUAAAACCACUAAAUCGGAGAUGGCCAAUGAGAAGCUAAUUGUAGUCCUAAAGCUCCACUGUAGUCUGGGUAAGCAAGAUACUCAUAUUUUAAUAGGUACAAUUCAGUAAAACUGUUUAUGUCAAGUGUUUGAAACAUCAUUUCCCUGAAUACCAUGGAUCUGAUGGAGGUAGAACGGGAUUGGGCUGCAAGAUGGGACUCUGAAGGGAAGGGCAUGUGGGAAGAACAUUAACUAGCAGGGCAAGAGAAUCUUUAAAACUAAAGACUCUUGGAGUUCCUGUUGUAGCUCAGCAGUUUUGAAAUGUGACUAGUAUCCAUGAGGAUGCAGGCUGACUCUGGCCCUGCUCAGUGGGUUAAUGAUUCAGUGUUGUCACAAGCUGCAGCAGGUCAGAAGUGGCUUGGAUCUGGCUUUGCCGUGGCUGUGGUGUAGGCCGACAGCUGCAGUUCCUAUUCAACCCCUAGUCUGGGAACUUCCAUAUGCUGUGGGUGCGGCCCCAAAAAGAAAAAGAAAACAAAAUUAAGGACUUCUAUGGAAAAAAAAGAGUUCAGAAAGAACAUUUUUCUUCUCUAACUUAAUUUGAAUCUUAUACUAUUGCUUUCAAAUUUUGUUGUAAACCUACUUCAUUCUUUACCAUUUUAUUUGAUUAGAAAUAUAUGGGAGAUCCUAGUUAUAUAGAACAUAGUUUAUAAUUUUAAAAACUUUAAUAUAGAUACAAAAUAGAAAUUUUGUUAACAAAUGAAUUUUCUUAUCCACAGAGGAAGUACCAUCACACCAUGUAAUCUAGAAAAUCAGCUCCUUUUAAAGGAAGGACAAUUGGGGGACCAAAACUAUAAAAGAAUAACUGCUAACAUUCAUAUACUAGUUCUAAGAUAAUUUUCUUUCCAAUUAAAAAAUGCAUAUAAUUUACACAAAGCUACCAAGGUAAAGCAAUUUGUUGUUCUGCACAGCAAGAUCACUGGCAUGGGGACAGUUAAUGUUUCCACAACUAGAGUGGGACUAGAGAGGAAAAACUCACAUCACAAAAGGCAAUGACAUAAUUAAAUAAUUUUGUGUAAAAUUUAGCUUCUCAUGCAUAUUUGUUCAUUUGUCUUAUAUCCUUUUGCAUUAACUGUCUUAAGUUCUCCUUAGCUCAUCUACAAUUGACAGUACUUUACUAUGAAGUAUGGUUUCUCUAUGAAUUACUUUGUUAAGGAUAAAGCAGUUCAGAAGUUCCCACUGUGGCUCAGCAGGUUAAGGAACUGAUGUUGUCUCUGUGAGAAUGUGGAUUCUAUCCCUGGCCUUGCUCAGUGGGUUAAGGAUCUAGCAUUGCUGUAAGCUGUGGCAUAGGUUGCAGAUGUAGCUCGAGAUCCAAUGUUGCCAUGGAUGUGGCGUGGCCUCAGCAGCAGCUCCGAUUUGAUCCCUAGCCUAGGAACUUUCAUAUGCCUUAGGUCAGCAGUAAAGAGAGAAAAAAAAAAAAAAAAAAAAAA
rnacentral:lncRNA from 1 species